UUGCUCUGGCAGCAAAUAUACUAAAAUCGGAACUUUACAGAGAAGAUUAGCAUGGCCCUUGUGUGGGAAUAAUACACAAAUUCGUGAAGCAUUCCAUAUUUUU